GUACUUAUCUGGACGGGAUCGAUGAGCAAUCAAGAAGGCUCGUGGCCUAAAACAACGACCUUCAUUGCACAUAUGGAAGGGAUGCCUUGAGGUCUCCCAAGUGGGAGAGCCUACCCCAUAAUUUGUGGUAACGGGGGCUUGUGUUCGCGCAACCCCUGA
rnacentral:snRNA from 1 species